rnacentral:rRNA from 1 species
AUUGAACGCUGGCGGCAUGCUUUACACAUGCAAGUCGAACGGUAACAGGCCGCAAGGUGCUGACGAGUGGCGAACGGGUGAGUAAUGCAUCGGAACGUGCCCAGUCGUGGGGGAUAACGCAGCGAAAGCUGUGCUAAUACCGCAUACGAUCUGUGGAUGAAAGCGGGGGACCUUCGGGCCUCGCGCGAUUGGAGCGGCCGAUGUCAGAUUAGGGAGUUGGGGGGGUAAAGGCUCACCAAGCCGACGAGCUGUAGCUGGUCUGAGAGGACAACAGGCCACAGUGGGACUGAGACAAGGCCCAGACUCCUACGGGAGGCAGCAGUGGGGAAUUUUGGACAAUGGGCGCAAGCCUGAUCCAGCAAUGCCGCGUGCAGGAAGAAGGCCUUCGGGUUGUAAACUGCUUUUGUACGGAGCGAAAAGGCUCCCUCUAAUACAGGGGGCUCAUGACGGUACCGUAAGAAUAAGCACCGGCUAACUACGUGCCAGCCGCCGCCGUAACAC